AUUCGUCCCCGAGACAGUCACUCAAAGAGACAGCGCGUUUAUUCCUCAUCCUCUUUUCUUUCUUCUCCCUUUAUAUGGCAUUUGAAGUCAAACACCGUUCCACUGAAGGACGGACAAGCGUCAUUCGUUUCACUUUCAACCCACAUUCUGCAUUGAAAUGACCCGAUGGCCAUUUAGGGUGCGCUACUUUCAACGUGUUGGCUUUUAUUGUAUCGUCAGAUUAAACACUAUUUAAAACAAAAACCUAUCUCCGUCGCCCGUUUCCCGCCUCUCUCUGUCCGUCUUUAUCUGGUUCAUUCACAUAAUGUAUCAUCAGAGUAAAUAACAGCAGGCAUCAGCGUGUCAUUCUGCCGCAAACUCGUCUAUACGCUAAUCGAAAGCUGCUGAUUUCAGCACCACAGACAGCGCCGCGCUCGCAUAUAGACCGCCUGCUCUUCAGUCAGAACCGAGUACUGUGCAGUUCAGCGUCCAGAACUCGGAUGAGAAACAAAGAUAGGCGUUUACGUUACGAACAGGCUGCUAAAAGCUCCAGUUUAAAUCACUUGUGAGGCCCAUUGUACAGCCUGAGUGGAGCAACAGUUAGACUGGGAGAAAGAAAAGUGUUUCUGGGCAGGAACCAGCAAAACUCCUUACAUAGAAAAUAGCUUUGCCAAUUUAUUAAUUCCAAGGCAUCUUAAGACUCAAACAAAUGCCAUGCAAAUAUGUUCAUACAACUGACACACCAAUACAAAAACCUGUGCAAUCCACACGCUUGCUACGUUACUGAAUUAUGAGUCCACCUGUGUGAAAUUUAGCUUAGUAUAAAGUCAGAUGUUCUUUGAUAACCCAAUAGUUUUGGUUAGAGAAUAUUACUGACAAACAGCAUCAUUAUGUCCAAGGAACACAGAAGAAAGCUGUUGUUAAACAAAAAUGAUGACAAGUUGCAUUAAAAUUUGCCACAGGUACAAACACAAGAAGAUGCUAUGAUCAGGUGAGAUCAAAGUUCAACUUUUUGGCCCACAUGUAGAUUUUGAAAUGACCCCAGUCAAGUCCAGACUAGGGUCUGGAGGACCCUGUAGUGUUCCCAAUAAACCUAUGCAGGUACAUGGAGAAUAGAAUAAAAAGAAUACAUGGUUUUCAAAUAGUAAAAACAGAAACAUUUGCUAUAGCUUCGUAUUUAACGUCAUGAAUCAAUAGGGGAUUGAAACACAUUUUUCACCAAUGUUCUCUAACAAAUCUGAGACCUUCACAGAAUAUUAAAUUCCAAUAAAUUCCCUUGAAGAGGGUGGCUGUGCAGUGACUAAAUGGGAAAAAGUUCAAGGUGUAUGAAUACUUUUGCAAGGCAUUAUACUGUAUUUGUUCCUUGACCUAUUGUCAAAACUAAUCUAAGGCAGUGAGCCCAAAUCCAGACUGACCAAAUCACAGCCAAUUUAAAAACAGCAAGAAGCACAGCAACCAUAAAUCAAUUCUCAUUUAUAAGUAAUUUUGUGCUCCUGAUUCAGUGCUUUUUGCAAGACUGUAUACUUGAUUAUGCAAGUAAUCAAAAAACACAAAAGACACAAGAACAUAAGUGCAAAAUUGUUUUUCUUGAGCCAUUUUUAAUUAAAUUUGAAAAAUGCAGACUUGCAAAUUCCAUUUUACCAAGAAUUUAGUUUAAACUAUUCCAACUGCAGCUGCUAGAAAACAAAGAACUAAGAUCUGUGCCAUCGUUGAAUGCUAUGCUGUAUCUGCUAAACUUGAAGUCCAUUCAAGGGAGUGUCUGCAGAGGAGUGAGAUGUCAAUAGUACUUCCUUCGAGACAUUAUUGGACGCCGUGCAGGAGCCUUUUGUGCAACGAUGGUCCCAGUGUGGCAUGAAGGUGAUUAUUAAGACUCCCUGCUGUUGCCAGAAUAAAAGCAUCCCGAGAUGAGCUCAGGAAGAUGCUGCAAAAAGAGGAUAAUAAGUAAAACUGUUCUGAAAUAUC